GGAACGGGCCGGAUGGUCGCGCCUGGUUUUCCAGGUGAGGAAAGUCCGGGCUCCAGAGGACAGGGUGCCGGAUAACGCCCGGUGGCCGGGAAACCGGUCAAGGAAAGUGCAACAGAAAAUACACCGCCUCUUCCGGGAAACCGGAGGAGGUAAGGGUGAAAUGGCGGGGUAAGAGCCCACCGCCCGGGCGGCAACGUCCGGGGCGCUGCAAACCCCACCCGGAGCAAGGCCAAAUAGGGGACGAGGGCACCCCGGAUUAUGAAUCCGGGGACCCCGCGAUGUGGUCCGCAUCGUAAUCAGUCCCGGGUAGGCUGCAUGAGGAGACGGGCAACCGUGCUUCCCAGACAAAUGACCAUCGCUCCCGCCAAGGGGGAACAGAACCCGGCUUACAGGCCCGUUCCUUUU
rnacentral:RNase_P_RNA from 1 species